GAGUCCAAAGAAAACAAUGGGCAAGCGAAGUGUGGUUUGAAACAUUCCGGAAGUAUCCCCAGCGUUGUCGACACUGCAUCCUUCCUCCUCCCCUUCCCUUCUGCGACACGCCAAGAAGAUAAAUCAACAAGGUGGGAGGAAGCCGGAGUACCCGGAGGGAACCCACGCAGUCACAGAGAGAACAUGCAAACUCCACAUAGAAAGACCCAGAGCCCGGGGAUCGAACCCAGGACCUUUGUAUUAUUUGGUGCUUUGUGGCUGUCAUAAGAUUGUGGAGGUGGCUGGCAAACAAGCACUCAUUGCAUCGUUAAGUAGAAUGAGGAGCGCAUUAUCUUUAGAAUUACUACUGAUAUUUGUCCACCUCAGCCUGAAAUGGUGCCACAUUAUCACCUCCAGAAAAUGAAGAAAUUGCAUGACAACCAUUCUACUGCAUAAUA